GCCAGGUGUGGUGGCUCACACCUGUAAUCCCAAUACUUUGGGAGGCUGAGGUGGGUGGAUCACCUGAGGUCAGGAGUUUGAGACCAGCCUGGCCAACAUGGUGAAACCCCAUUUCUA
rnacentral:sRNA from 1 species